rnacentral:lncRNA from 1 species
GGUGAAUAAGGUGUGUGGGCUCAUAUCACUAUAUAGUUGCUUUGGAGAAAAGUGUGCCUGGAAUCUGUGGUCUGGGAGGCAUCAGGCUAAUCUACAGAUUUUUGUCCAGAGGGACCUCUGCUGCAGUACAGAAGAACCCAAUCAGAAUGAAAGGCACAAAGAUCAUCCUACACAAUGAAUCCUUGCCUCAAGCCUAUGCUGGAACACAGUUUCAAGAGUGAUCCUGAAACUCAAGUGAUGGACACCUGUCUGAACAGUCCCU